rnacentral:rRNA from 1 species
UGGGGAAUAUUGCACAAUGGGGGAAACCCUGAUGCAGCGACGCCGCGUGAGCGAAGAAGGUUUUCGAAUCGUAAAGCUCUGUCCUAUGAGAAGAUAAUGACGGUAUCAUAGGAGGAAGCCCCGGCUAAAUACGUGCCAGCAGCCGCGGUAAUACGUAGGGGGCAAGCGUUGUCCGGAAUCACUGGGCGUAAAGGGUUCGCAGGCGGAAAUGCAAGUCAGUUGUGAAAGGCAGAGGCUCAACCUCUGUAAGCAAUUGAAACUGUAUUUCUUGAGAUGUGGAGAGGCAAGUGGAAUUCCUAGUGUAGCGGUGAAAUGCGUAGAUAUUAGGAAGAAUACCGGUGGCGAAGGCGACUUGCUGGACACAAACUGACGCUGAGGAACGAAAGCGUGGGUAGCAAACAGG